rnacentral:lncRNA from 1 species
AUUUUUCUUGAGAUUUAUUGAAUUGUUUUUAAGUUGAUGUGGAUUGAAUCUUUCUGUUUGGUUCUAUGAGCUUCAAAUUGCAUGCUUUGCCUUCUAUGCUUCAUAAAAUGAAAUUGGUUGAUGAUAUGAAUAUGAGACCAGUUGGACUUUGUUCUUAUUGGAUUAAGCUUGAUUCUUAUCAAUUUUCAUGUUCUGUUUUGGUUUAUU